rnacentral:rRNA from 1 species
AACGAACGUUAGCGGCGCGCUUAACACAUGCAAGUCGAGCGAGAAAGGGGCAACCCCGGUAAAGCGGCGCACGGGUGAGUAACACGUAGAUAAUCUACCCCCAGAUGGUGGAUAACCUUCCGAAAGGAGGGCUAAUACAGCAUGAGACCACGACUCCGAAAGGGGAUGAGGUCAAAGCCGGCCUCUUCAUGAAAGCUGGCGUCAGGGGAUGAGUCUGCGGCCCAUCAGCUAGUUGGUAGGGUAACGGCCUACCAAGGCGAAGACGGGUAGCUGGUCUGAGAGGAUGAUCAGCCACACUGGAACUGAGACACGGUCCAGACUCCUACGGGAGGCAGCAGUGGGGAAUCUUGCGCAAUGGGCGAAAGCCUGACGCAGCGACGCCGCGUGAGUGAUGAAGGCCUUCGGGUUGUAAAGCUCUGUGGAGGGGGACGAAUAAGUCGUGGCCAACAUCCACGAUGAUGACGGUACCCCUUUAGCAAGCACCGGCUAACUCUGUGCCAGCAGCCGCGG